AGCGAACGCUGGCGGCAGGCCUAACACAUGCAAGUCGAACGGAUCCUUCGGGAUUAGUGGCGGACGGGUGAGUAACACGUGGGAACGUGCCCUUUGGUACGGAACAACUCAGGGAAACUCGAGCUAAUACCGUAUAAGCCCUACGGGGAAGAUUUAUCGCCAUUGGAGCGGCCCGCGUCUGAUUAGCUAGUUGGUGAGGUAAAGGCUCACCAAGGCGACGAUCAGUAGCUGGUCUGAGAGGAUGAUCAGCCACAUUGGGACUGAGACACGGCCCAAACUCCUACGGGAGGCAGCAGUGGGGAAUCUUGCGCAAUGGGCGAAGCCUGACGCAGCCAUGCCGCGUGUAUGAUGAAGGUCUUAGGAUUGU
rnacentral:rRNA from 1 species